rnacentral:tRNA from 1 species
AUUUAAAUAGCUUAUAAAGAGUAUAAUAUUGAAGAUAUUAAGGAGAUUAAAUAAUCUUUAAAUA